UACGUAGGGGGCAAGCGUUGUCCGGAAUUAUUGGGCGUAAAGCGCACGCAGGCGGCUUCUUAAGUCUGGUGUGAAAUCUCGCAGCUUAACUGCGAGCGGUCAUUGGAAACUGGGGAGCUUGAGGACAGAAGAGGAGAGUGGAAUUCCACGUGUAGCGGUGAAAUGCGUAGAUAUGUGGAGGAACACCAGUGGCGAAGGCGGCUCUCUAGUCUGUAUCUGACGCUGAGGUGCGAAAGCGUGGGGAGCGAACAGG
rnacentral:rRNA from 1 species